rnacentral:rRNA from 1 species
GAUGAACGCUGGCGGCGUGCUUAACACAUGCAAGUCGAACGAUGAAGCUCAGCUUGCUGGGUGGAUUAGUGGCGAACGGGUGAGUAACACGUGAGUAACCUGCCCUUAACUCUGGGAUAAGCCUGGGAAACUAGGUCUAAUACCGGAUAGGAGCGCCUACCGCAUGGUGGGUGUUGGAAAGAUUUAUCGGUUUUGGAUGGACUCGCGGCCUAUCAGCUUGUUGGUGAGGCAAUGGCUCACCAAGGCGACGACGGGUAGCCGGCCUGAGAGGGUGACCGGCCACACUGGGACUGAGACACGGCCCAGACUCCUACGGGAGGCAGCAGUGGGGAAUAUUGCACAAUGGGCGAAAGCCUGAUGCAGCGACGCCGCGUGAGGGAUGACGGCCUUCGGGUUGUAAACCUCUUUCAGUAGGGAAGAAGCGAAAGUGACGGUACCUGCAGAAGAAGCACCGGCUAACUACGUG